CUCCAUCCUUCCCUCCCCGCUGUCCUUAUACCCAGGCCUCUUAUAGUUACCCUGAUGUUGGGGAGGGCCUGCCGCUGCCUCACCAAGCCCUCCGGUGAACCCGCUGAUGCAGAGGCCACCUGCCUGAGUCUUGAUCGCAGACUUGAGCUCCUGAUUCUCCCGAAUGAGCCGUACCAGCUUCUUCAGUUCCUCAUUUUCCCGCACCAGCCUCUCUAUCUGAUGCCGAAGCCCCUCGUAACUUUGACUCUUCCUUUGCACCUGAUCUCUGCUCCUUGGGUCCUGGAAUCUUCUGGAGUUUCAUUCUCUCAAGAAUCUAAAAUGAAGACGUGACGGUGAUCCAGCAGCGCUCGCUGUUUCUCUACGACUGGCCAGGGUUACGUUGACUUGGCUUAUCUGGCUGGCCAAGCAAGUAUCCCAUUCCUCCCUCACUGUUCCCUGUAUGUCCCUCCUGAAGCUGUCCACUUGGUAGAAGACAACUCUCUCCCGGGGGAGCAGUGUUCAAGUGAAGAUACACAAGUAGCUGUGUUCCUCUGCUAGGACUUCCAAACAAGACCCGGAGCCAGUCCUCCUCGACGGAUUUCAAGAGCCGGAGGACUGAGUCCUCCUGACACGCCCUUCUCUUAGAGCUUUCUAGAAAGAAUGCCAUGGGAUCUUGGGAGUCAAUGGAGGCUGGUCUUGGAGACCUCCACUGGCUCUGUGGUCAUCUUCUCUCAACACUUUCCAUAGGUCAGGGAGAGGAAGGUAAAGUCCAGUUCCAGACCAGAUUCUUGUGGGCAGAUUCUGGUAGAGUGGAGCUGAGGAAGAGGAGGGUCAGUCUAAGUUGGGUGUUCUAUCUGGACCUCACAAUGGGGGGACCUGCCCCCCUAUCUUUGACACUCUGUGCUGUAAUCUUAAGUCAUUUUGGCCUCAAAGACAAGAGUACCUGAAGACCACACAAGAGUUCUUUUCAUUAUUCCUUCUAACUUUAU
rnacentral:lncRNA from 1 species